rnacentral:rRNA from 1 species
CCUACGGGAGGCUGCAGUGAGGAAUAUUGGUCAAUGGCCGGAAGGCUGAACCAGCCAAGCCGCGUGAAUGACGAAGGUGCCAAGCAUUGUAAACUUCUUUUGUCAAGGGACAAAAUCAGGCUCGAGAGCCUGACCGAGCGUCCUUGAAGAAACCGCAUCGGCUAACUCCGUGCCAGCAGCCGCGGUAAUACGGAGGAUGCGAGCGUUAUCCGGAUUUCUUGGGUUUAAAGGGUGAGUAGGCGGGCUGUUAGGUCAGCGGUAAAAGCCCGGGGUUAAACCCCGGAGAGCCGUUGAAACUGGAUGGCUGGAGAUGUCGAGAGGUAUGCGGAAUGCGCAGUGUAGCGGUGAAAUGCUUAGAGAUUGCGCAGAACUCCGAUUGCGAAGGCAGCAUUCCGGCGGCGAUCUGACGCUGAGGCACGAAAGCGUGGGGAUCGAACAGGAUUAGAUACCCGGGUAGUC